CGGGUUGUGGCUCAGCUUGGUAGAGCGCUGCGUUCGGGACGCAGAGGUCGCAGGUUCAAAUCCUGUCAACCCGACCA
rnacentral:tRNA from 5 species